AAACCAAGGCAAAAGUUGAACGCUAAGCAAUUUUCAGUGUUUUUCAUUUUUUUUUUUGGGUUUCAAUCAGUAACAUCAACUGCAGGAGCUCCAUAAAAUCUCUCUGAACUCUUGGAUUUUUAGAGGUUUUAAUUUGCUUCUACAAGAUGAACAAACAGCAAGCAGCGUCGAUGAUGAAUCAACAGCAGCAGCAACAUAUGAUCUUUGAUUUCUUCAGAAUGCUAUCAUUCUACUUCACAACUGUUGGAUACUACUUCUGCACCAUGUUAACAAUGCUGAGUGCUUAUGCUUUUCUCUAUGGAAGAGCUUAUUUGGCGUUGUCUGGAGUUGGAGAAACAAUUCAAGAUAGAGCAGAUAUAUUCCAAAAUACUGCACUAAGUGCUGCUCUCAAUGCACAGUUUCUUUUUCAGAUUGGUGUAUUUAGUGCAGUUCCAAUGAUUUUGGGUUUCAUCUUGGAACAAAGAUUCCUGAGAGCUAUUGUUAGUUUUGUAACGAUGCAGUUUCAGCUAUGCACUGUAUUCUUCACUUUCUCAUUGGGUACAAGAACACAUUACUUUGGUUGGACUAUCCUUCAUGGUGGAGCUAGGGACUGUAGAAGACUUCAGAGAUUGGACAAAUUGGCUUUUUUAAAGAGGUGGAAUUGGAGUUAAGGGAGAAGAAAGUUGGGAAGUUUGGUGGGAUGAAGAGCUGGCACAUAUUCGAACGUUAGAGGGGAGGCUAAUGGAGACGAUUCUUAGUUUAAGAUUUUUUAUAUUUCAAUACGGCAUUGUUUACAAGCUACAUUUACAGGGAGAUAAUACAUCGUUGACGGUGUAUGGUUUUUCAUGGAUUGUAUUUGCAGUGCUUUUGAUCCUCUUUAAGAUUGCAGUGGCGUGGAAAGCAGUUCAUUCUGUUGAGCUGUUAUAUGAUGCUGGGAUUGGUAUGCUCAUAUUUAUCCCCAUUGCAUUCCUUUCCUGGUUCCCAUUUGUUUCAACAUUUCAAACCCAACCUAUGUUCAACGAAAGGGCUGGAAAUAGUCCCAACACUGGUGUGUGAUUCCCGCGUAGGACAUGCUUCAUUCUCAAGCUUUUAGGGUGUUCCAUUUUCUGAAUUUGUAGAAUGCACUCUUUGAGGCUUUGCCAGAUGAUGAAUUCCUAAGUUACCAUUUCUGUCACGUUUAACUAGUAGUCUUGGAGAGUGCUACAUUCAUAUAGAGCUUGAGAGCUUCCCCCAAUUCCCUGUAUAUAUUCUUGGGCUGACUGGUUUGCUUUUCACUAACCUUAACUGUCGUUCUAUAGUUCAUUAAAAUGAUUUUGAGGUAUUUUCA